GCGGGAGUAGUUCAGUGGCAGAACGUCAGCUUCCCAAGCUGAAUGUCGCCGGUUCGAUCCCGGUCUCCCGCU
rfam:Terriglobus roseus strain GAS232 genome assembly, chromosome: I